CUGCAGUUUUGUUCUCAUGUCUUGAUGAGCAUGAACGGCUCCUGACGAGGGUGAGUAAGGAUGCUGUGACCGGAGACUCUGCGGGAUUGUAGCUUCAGGAGCAAAGGAGGUUUUCUCUCUUGCAAACCCUUCAGGGAGGAAGUUCCAGGCUGGUGACUACUCCAUGAGAUUUGGAUGAGUUGCUUUCUGCAUAACACACCUGGACAGACGGAGGCUGGUUCUCCACAAUGGCACCAGGGACUUGGCGGAGAGUGGCGGGACAGAGGCACAGCACCAGCUCCCUGGGAGAAGGCAGUGCCUGUGGGAUGGAGGAAAGAAGAGGCACACAGUGCUGAGAUCUAUACAACCUGGCGUUUGGCCGUGGCUUCCAGGACAGGCUGGAUGCAGAGUGAAGUCCUCUCCUCACUGUCAAUGUUUGCAGAUGUCUUCAUGUAUAAACUUCGUAUUUCUUGUAUUUCUUGAGACUUUGAAUUAGGUUUUUACUUAACUGGACUUUUAAAAUUGCCAUGCACAUAACUCUACCAGUUAGAAUCUUGAGCUAACAUGGGUUUUUGGUUUUUGGUUUUUGGUUUUACUUUGAUGAAUGUUUAACAUUUGCAUGCUGGAUGUGGGGGUGGAGGUCAUUUAUCUGCUUUUCAUUGCCUUCUUGGUUAUACUUAGUGACUUUCAGGUAAGGUGUGGAAGGCGUGGUACAGGGUGAAUUGCAGGCCGCACUGUGGCGCCGUGGAGGACAGGUGCGGGCUGCAGUGGUGUGCACAGUGGAUGAGAGACAAGAGGAGACUUCCAUCCUUGAGGGAAACACACAACAAUUUAAAAAAACUGAUCGUCUAGCUUACAUGAGGUCCAACAAAUUCAGUUUGCAAAGUUUAACUUCCAAGUUAAUUUAGUAAUUUUUCCCCUAAGUCAUUAAUUUAGUAGCUUAUGUUUAAAUAUAUUUCUUUUGUCUAAAGGAGGCCAUAAAUUCUAAAAUGAAUGACUAAACAUGUAAUAAUUUAGGCAUACAGCACCUGAAGGGAAAACUGCCAGUAUGCUAAAAUAUUGGAUACAGAUGCUUUUAAAAAAUAUAAUGUAGCAUUCUUACAA